ACAAAGGCAGCAAGAUGCAACGCCAGGGAAGUCACCAAAAACCGGGGCAGAAAAUUUUCUGCCAAUUGUCGAAAAUUUUCUCGGAAGAACGGGGGAACAAUCGCAAAUACAUUUAAGUUCUGGGUCGCCCACCAGUAUAAUGCGGGAAUACUUUUAAGUUCUAGGUCGCCCACCAGUAUAAUGCGGGAAUACUUUUAAGUUCUAGGUCGCCCACCAGUAUAAUGCGGGAAUACUUUUAAGUUCUAGGUCGCCCACCAGUAUAAUGCGGGAAUACAUUUUAAGUUCUAGGUCGCCCACCAGUAUAAUGCGGGAAUACUUUUCAGUUCUAGGUCGCCCACCAGUAUAAUGCGGGAAUACUUUUAAGUUCUAGGUCGCCCACCAGUAUAAUGCGGGAAUACAUUUUAAGUUCUAGGUCGCCCACCAGUAUAAUGCGGGAAUACUUUUCAGU
rnacentral:lncRNA from 1 species